rnacentral:rRNA from 1 species
CCUACGGGUGGCUGCAGUGGGGAAUAUUGCGCAAUGGGCGAAAGCCUGACGCAGCGACGCCGCGUGAGGGACGACGGCCUUCGGGUUGUAAACCUCUUUCAGCAGGGACGAAGCGAAAGUGACGGUACCUGCAGAAGAAGCACCGGCCAACUACGUGCCAGCAGCCGCGGUAAUACGUAGGGUGCAAGCGUUGUCCGGAAUUAUUGGGCGUAAAGAGCUCGUAGGCGGUCUGUCACGUCGGAUGUGAAAACGCGGGGCUCAACCCCGAGCCUGCAUUCGAUACGGGCAGACUUGAGUUCGGCAGGGGAGACUGGAAUUCCUGGUGUAGCGGUGAAAUGCGCAGAUAUCAGGAGGAACACCGGUGGCGAAGGCGGGUCUCUGGGCCGAUACUGACGCUGAGGAGCGAAAGCGUGGGGAGCGAACAGGAUUAGAUACCCUAGUAGUC